rnacentral:rRNA from 1 species
AUGCCGCUCAGGUUGGAGAUCAAGAGGAAGUUCGCGCAGCGGUCCGAGAGGGUCAAGUCGGUGGAUCUGCACCCCACGGAGCCAUGGAUCCUGGCGAGUUUGUACUCGGGGACUCUCUGCAUCUGGGACUACCAGACGCAGACCAUGGUGAAAUCAUUUGAAGUUUCAGAGCUGCCAGUGCGGUCGGCAAAAUUUGUGUCAAGGAAACAAUGGGUUGUUGCCGGUGCAGAUGAUAUGUUCAUUCGUGUCUACAACUACAAUACCAUGGACAAAAUUAAAGUUUUUGAGGCUCAUACUGAUUACAUCAGAUGUGUAGCAGUCCAUCCAACUCUUCCAUAUAUGCUGUCAUCAUCUGAUGACAUGUUGAUAAAGCUUUGGGACUGGGACAAAGGGUGGAUGUGCACUCAAAUCUUUGAGGGGCAUUCACACUAUGUCAUGCAGGUUACUUUCAAUCCAAAGGAUACUAACACUUUUGCAAGUGCAUCUCUCGACCGCACUACAAAGAUAUGGAGUUUGGGUUCUCCAGAUCCAAAUUUUACUCUAGAUGGACAUCAAAAGGGUGUGAACUGUGUUGAUUACUUUACUGGUGGUGACAGACCCUAUUUGAUUACUGGUUCUGAUGACUCCACUGCAAAGGUCUGGGAUUACCAAACCAAGAGCUGUGUUCAGACUCUUGAAGGCCAUACACACAACAUUUCUGCUGUUUGUUUCCAUCCUGAGCUUCCUAUAAUCAUUACUGGAUCGGAAGAUGGGACAGUUCGUAUAUGGCAUUCGACAACUUACAGGCUUGAGAACACACUAAACUAUGGCCUUGAGCGAGUCUGGGCUGUUGGAUACAUGAAGGGAUCAAGAAGAAUGGUGAUUGGUUAUGAUGAGGGAACUAUUAUGAUUAAAAUGGGUCGUGAAGUACCAGUAGCAAGUAUGGAUGCCAGUGGAAAAAUCAUCUGGGCAAAGCAUAAUGAGAUACAGACUGUGAAUAUAAAGACUGUCGGUGCAAACUUUGAGGCUACAGAUGGGGAAAGAUUGCCCCUAGCUGUGAAGGAGUUAGGCAGCUGUGAUCUUUACCCGCAGAACUUGAAGCAUAACCCCAACGGCCGGUUUGUUGUUGUAUGCGGAGAUGGUGAAUACAUAAUCUAUACUGCACUGGCUUGGAGGAACAGAUCAUUUGGAUCCGCGUUAGAGUUCGCUUGGUCAUCAGAAGGAGAGUACGCAAUCAGAGAAAGUACAUCCAGAAUAAAGAUUUUCAAUAAAUCAUUCCAGGAGAAGAAAACUAUCCGUCCUACAUUCUCUGCAGAGCGUAUCUUUGGUGGGGUACUUUUGGCAAUGUGUUCCAGUGACUUUAUUUGCUUUUAUGACUGGGCUGAUUGUAGACUAAUUCGCAGAAUUGAUGUGACUGUCAAGAACGUCUACUGGGCUGAUAGUGGUGACCUAGUUGCAAUCGCAAGUGAUACAUCAUUCUACAUCCUGAAGUACAAUAGAGAUGUUGUUGCUGCCUACUUGGAAGGUGGAAAGCCUGCUGACGAGGAAGGCGCUGAAGAUGCUUUUGAGUUGCUUCAUGAGGUCAAUGAGCGGGUGCGAACUGGGAUUUGGGUUGGAGACUGUUUUAUUUAUAACAACUCAUCAUGGCGCCUAAAUUAUUGCGUUGGUGGAGAGGUCACCACAAUGUAUCACUUGGAUCGCCCUAUGUAUUUGAUGGGAUAUCUUGCGAAUCAAAGUCGAGUUUAUCUUAUUGACAAGGAGUUUAAUGUCAUUGGGUAUACAUUACUUCUCAGUUUGAUUGAAUACAAGACGCUUGUGAUGCGUGGGGAUUUGGAAAGUGCAAAUGAGAUCUUACCGUCCAUACCAAAGACGCAAUAUAAUAGUGUUGCUCAUUUCUUGGAGUCCAGAGGAAUGUUGGAGGAGGCUCUUGAGAUAGCCACUGAUGCUGAUUAUAAGUUUGAUUUGGCUGUGCAGCUUGGAAAAUUAGAAAUCGCGAAGGCUAUUGCCGUAGAAGCACAAAGCGAAUCAAAGUGGAAGCAGCUUGGUGAGCUCGCCAUGUCCACCGGGAAGCUUGAGGCAUCAGAAGAGUGUCUUCUGCAAGCGAAGGACUUGAGUGGCUUGUUGCUACUAUACUCAUCUCUCGGAGAUGCUGAAGGAGUCGAAAAGCUUGCUUCUCUAGCGAAAGAGCACGGAAAAAACAAUGUUGCUUUCCUCUGUCUCUUUAUGCUUGGUAAAUUGGAAGAUUGCAUACAAUUGCUUGUAGACAGCAAUCGUAUACCUGAAGCUGCAUUAAUGGCACGUUCUUAUCUUCCCAGCAAAGUUUCAGAGAUUGUAGCAAUUUGGAGAAAAGACCUCAGCAAAGUUAAUCCAAAAGCUGCAGAUUCUCUGGCAGAUCCUGCUGAGUAUCCAAAUUUAUUUGAGGACUGGCAGGUUGCACUUACUGUAGAACAGAAUGUUGCUUCCCAGAGGGGGCACUAUCCUUCUGCAGAUGAGUACUUGAACCAUGCUGAGAAGUCAGACACUACUCUUGUGGAAGCUUUCAAAAGGAUGCAGGUCAUUGAAGAAGAGGAACCAGUGGAAGCACUGGAUGAAAAUGGAGAGCCUGAUGAAGAGGUAAUGGAAACGGAGGAGAACGUGGAUGAAGCUGUCCAAGUUGAUACGGAUCAACCAGAAGAAACCGUUCUUGUAAAUGGGAAUGAGGGUGAGGAACAGUGGGUGCUAACCCAACAUGAUGAGUAG